AGAGUUUGAUCCUGGCUCAGGAUGAACGCUAGCGGCAGGCUUAACACAUGCAAGUCGAGGGGUAACGAUGUCUUCGGACAGUCGACGACCGGCGCACGGGUGAAUAUCGCGUUUGUAACCUACCUUUAACUGGAGAAUAGCCCGAAGAAAUUCGGAUUAAUGCUCCAUAAUACUAUAGUUUGGCAUCAUUUUAUAGUUAAAGCUCCGGCGGUUAAAGAUGGGCAUGCGUAACAUUAGCUAGUUGGUGAGGUAACUGCUCACCAAGGCUACGAUGUUUAGGGGGUCUGAGAGGAUGGUCCCCCACACUGGUACUGAGACACGGACCAGACUCCUACGGGAGGGAGGGAGGGAGGGAGGCAGCAGUGAGGAAUAUUGGUCAAUGGGCGCAAGCCUGAACCAGCCAUCCCGCGUGCAGGAAGAAGGCGCUAUGCGUUGUAAACUGCUUUUCCAGGGGGCGAAUAGCUCUUACGUGUAAGGGUAUGACGGUACCCUGGGAAUAAGCAUCGGCUAACUCCGUGCCAGCAGCCGCGGUAAUACGGAGGAUGCAAGCGUUAUCCGGAUUUAUUGGGUUUAAAGGGUGCGUACGCGGAAAAUUAAGUCAGUGAUGAAAUCCUGCAGCUCAACUGUAGAACUGUUAUUGAUACUGAUUUUCUUGAAUUUAGUUGAGGUAGGCGGAAUGUGUAAUGUAGCGGUGAAAUGCUUAGAUAUUACACAGAACACCGAUUGCGAAGGCAGCUUACUAAGCUAAAAUUGACGCUGAGGCACGAAAGCGUGGGGAGCGAACAGGAUUAGAUACCCUGGUAGUCCACGCCGUAAACGAUGAUUACUCGUUGUUGGCGAUACAUAGUCAGCGACUGAGCGAAAGCAUUAAGUAAUCCACCUGGGGAGUACGAUCGCAAGAUUGAAACUCAAAGGAGUUGACGG
rnacentral:rRNA from 1 species